rnacentral:rRNA from 1 species
GACGAACGCUGGCGGCGUGCUUAACACAUGCAAGUCGAACGGAAAGGCCCUGCUUUUGUGGGGUGCUCGAGUGGCGAACGGGUGAGUAACACGUGAGUAACCUGCCCUUGACUUUGGGAUAACUUCAGGAAACUGGGGCUAAUACCGGAUAGGAGCUCCUGCUGCAUGGUGGGGGUUGGAAAGUUUCGGCGGUUGGGGAUGGACUCGCGGCUUAUCAGCUUGUUGGUGGGGUAGUGGCUUACCAAGGCUUCGACGGGUAGCCGGCCUGAGAGGGUGACCGGCGACAUUGGGACUGAGAUACGGACCAGAAUGCUACGGGAGGCAGCAGUGGGGAAUAUUGCACAAUGGGCGGAAGCCUGAUGCAGCAACGCCGCGUGCGGGAUGACGGCCUUCGGGUUGUAAACCGCUUUCGACUGUGACGAAGCGUGAGUGACGGUAAUGGGUAAAGAAGCACCGGCUAACUACGUG